rnacentral:tRNA from 1 species
GUCCCAGUGGCCGAGNGGNNAAGGCGAUGCCCUGCUAAGGCAUUGGGUUUUACCUGCGCAGGUNCGAAUCCUGUCUGUGACGCCA